rnacentral:misc_RNA from 1 species
CUAUAUGCUGAAAGGAACCUUGCCAGAUCAUCCCAGUGUUGGUUUGUUCCUCCUGCAAUGACGAAAUCAAUCCCAUCUAGAACAGCUGGUCCAAGUGGGCGAGAAGAAGAUUCACCACGUAAAAAGUUAUUCCAAAGAUAAGUAGCAACGUGCCUGGCAUCCUCCACAGAUGUAAGAUGGUAAUUCACAAAUCCUCCACCGAUAGAAAGCAUCACCUUGAUGCCUUUGGCUUGACAUGAUUUAAUGUCAGAGCUUAAGCCUGUGCAACCAUUGCUGUAUGGAUCACAAUGGCCAGCGAGGUUGAUCAUAGGAGUCGUACCAUUGCCAAAAGUAGGCAGGAAAGCUAUAUUUACAAAUUCAUAAUUUCCUGUGGCACAAGUCUCGGCUAAGG